UAAUUGAAGAGUUUGAUCAUGGCUCAGAUUGAACGCUGGCGGCAGGCCUAACACAUGCAAGUCGAGCGGUAACAGGGGAAGAUUGCUUC
rnacentral:rRNA from 1 species